rnacentral:lncRNA from 1 species
UUCUCCCUUAGCCUGUGUUCUCAAAAACUUAAAACCUCUUCAACUCACACCUGACCUAAAACCUAAAUGCCUUAUUUUCUUCUGCAAUGCCGCUUGACCCCAAUACAAACUCGACAGUAGUUCCAAAUAGCCAGAAAAUGGCACUUUGAAUUUUUCCAUCCUGCAAAAUCUAAAUAAUUCUUGUUGUAAAAUAGGCAAACGGUCUGAGGUGCCUGACGUCCAGGCAUUCUUUUCCACAUUAGUCCCUUCCUAGUCUCUGUGACCAGUGCAACUCGUCCCAAAUCUUCCUUCUUUCCCUCCCACCUGUCCCCUCAGUACCAACCCCAAGCGUCGCUGAGUCUUUCUAAUCUUCCUUUUCUACAGACCCAUCUGACCUCUCCCUUCCUCCCCAGG